CCUACGGGAGGCAGCAGUAGGGAAUAUUGCGCAAUGGACGAAAGCCUGACGGAGCGACGCCGCGUGAGGGAUGAAGGUCUUCGGAUCGUAAACCUCUGUCAGCAGAGAAGAACGAUCACUGUACUAAUCAGACGUGACUUGACGGUAUCUGCCAAGGAAGCCACGGCUAACUCCGUGCCAGCAGCCGCGGUAAUACGGAGGGUGCGAGCGUUAAUCGGAAUUACUGGGCGUAAAGCGAUCGUAGGCGGUAUCUCAAGUCAAGGGUGAAAGCCCCGCGCUCAACGGGGGAACGGCCUUUGAAACUGGCAAACUGGAGUGUUGGAGAGGAGAGUGGAAUUCCAGGUGUAGGGGUGAAAUCCGUAGAUAUAUGGAGGAACAUCAGUGGCGAAGGCGACUAUCUGGCACAUAACUGACGCUGAGGAGCGAAAGCGUGGGUAGCAAACAGGAUUAGAUACCCUUGUAGUC
rnacentral:rRNA from 1 species